GCUGAUGUAGCUCAGUGGUAGAGCAGCGCACUCGUAAUGCGCAGGUCGUCGGUUCGAAUCCGACCAUCAGCUCCA
rnacentral:tRNA from 1 species